rnacentral:lncRNA from 1 species
AUGGAAGACAAUACAUCAAUGUUUUGUUCGCAUUUCUACUUCAAUCUUCUGAACUCAAGUUAACAGUAACAUUAUCACAUUUGCUAACGUUUUUAGUUCCUUCUGAUACAAACGAAUCUCUAAAGAAAGAUAGAGGUCGUCGAAAUCACUGAAGAAACAUAGAGAAAAAGAACGAGCUCAUCACUUUUGAGAUGAGAUUCCUUUCACUGCUCAAAUGGGACACGCACGAACAGUCGACCGUGCAGGCUCACGACCGCUGAUGUGUGCAGCGGAUCGAUUCUUGCUGGAAAAUUCACAACCUACCAAAAACCAAACUCAAAGUUAAAAGACAGAACUAUUCUUUAGUUUACUGGAGAGUAAGAAUCAAACCUUUUUGAAGGGUGUGAUUCCCCAAGGAUUGUCAAGUUGUUCAGGCUGGCCUGCUAUAACCAGCCGCCCUGCAGGGUCUGACUGAACUCGAACCUGCAACAGGAAAGCAACUUAUGUCUGAAUAACUCAUUUCGUAUACAAAGAUUCACUAGCAACCAAGGUUAUACGUUACGAUAUAAACAUACCAUUGAAGAAGAAGGUUUUUCCAUUGAUAAUGACUAGAUUAAUGGUGGAAGCACGAGAACAUUACAUGACCUGCCAAAACAAAAGCAUGAAAGACAUUUGGGUUUGAAUUUCAUCAGUUUCCAUUUAGAUGAAUUGACUAAGAAACCCUUCAACAAUAUAACCAAGUGGGGUUUUGAGUACCAAGGUGUGUGAAAAUGAGGAAUGCAUCAAGUCCCUAGGGAGAAUAUGUAGUGACAAUCUGAAAACAAAUAGUAAUUUUUUAAGUUUCGUGUAUAUAUAGGAAAUUUUUUACAUGACCAAUGCCUGUCUUGUGGUGAAUUAUCUCCAAUUAGCUAGGGAAGUUUUUUUUAUUUGCGUAAGAAAUUGAGUAAUUCAAGUGUACUCUUUUAUUUUAUUUUGUCCAUAUAUGUAUGCACAUUGACCAUGCUAACACAAACUACCAAACUAUAUAUACAUCAUGGUCAAUUUAAGUAAUUUACUGAUAACAUUAACUUGCUAUAAGACCAUCAGACCAUGAUGAAUUUGGAUACAAUCCUUUUUGUAUUGUAAUUUGUAAAUGUUAGAUUAAGAAUUUUAUAUAUUUGGCUUUUUAGGGCAUGAACCAUGUACAGAGAAUUAAAGGGUAUUGUACUUUGGCGACCUUUUAGAUACAUGCGAUAAGACUUUAUCUUUUGAAGAUUUCCAUGUGGUUGUAUCAUGUGCCUUACAUGCAACUGAGCAACACAUGACUGAGAACAAAGUAGAUGCUAUAUUGUUUAUUGAAAAUUUUUAUAGACAAUUUAUGCCUAUGAUUGAACUGAUACAAAUAAUAAUUAAAAAAAUGAUGAUCGUAGAUACAUACAUUAUGUACAUACUACGUAUUGAGAUUGAGUAUAGGCCAUGAAUCUUGAUACUGUAUGUGCAUACGGUCGGGACAAUGGUUUUAAGUUUAUUCUAGCUCAGUGUUUAUUAUGGUGGGUUACUAAGUAUUUACCAAGUAGACUGAUAUUUGACAUUUAUAAUGAUCAGAGAAUUAUAAAAUUUAAUGUAAUUUUAUUAAUGAACUACCAUAAUUUAACAAAUUUAUAUAAAACGCAUUAUGAAAGAUAUAUAUGUAUCAUACAUAGUGCAGACUGCGUGAGUAUUUAUGGAUCGCCCAAGCAACACGCCGCAAAGGAGGCCUGGUUUUAGGCCCAUUAUACUUGGCCCAAACAAAUACAUGCUUAGAAAACCAUAACAUUCCUACUAACUUUAAUGGAAGACAAUACAUCAAUGUUUUGUUCGCAUUUCUACUUCAAUCUUCUGAACUCAAGUUAACAGUAACAUUAUCACAUUUGCUAACGUUUUUAGUUCCUUCUGAUACAAACGAAUCUCUAAAGAAAGAUAGAGGUCGUCGAAAUCACUGAAGAAACAUAGAGAAAAAGAACGAGCUCAUCACUUUUGAGAUGAGAUUCCUUUCACUGCUCAAAUGGGACACGCACGAACAGUCGACCGUGCAGGCUCACGACCGCUGAUGUGUGCAGCGGAUCGAUUCUUGC